UCUAACUUCACAAAACGUUUUCCUCAGGUGGUGCCUUUACUGAGAUAACCAGCAGGGGGAAACAUACCACAAAAUAUGAAAUGAGGCUAACAACCUAAACUUCCUGUGACUACAACAUUAACACAUCUCCCUCACUAUGAUGUGGACCCUUCUGACACCUCCCCUGAUCACAAUACCGUAACAAUGAGGCACUCUCAUUUACAAGUGCUGAACUGACAGGAAGGCUGAUAGUAGAGUCUCAAACAAAACAGCGUUAACAUGAUAUCUAUGGUCUUUAUAUUUAGUUUUCUUUAUCUCCCAGGAAAUAAGGGUGCCUCUAAUGCCUACAGUGUUGUCCAAACACCUCCUUUCAUCAUUAAGGGACCUGGAGAAUCUGUUACCAGAGGGAUCAACUGUUCUCACAACAUAACAAAUUAUGAUGUUAUUCUCUGGUACAAACAAGAUCACAGAGCUCUAAAGCUCCUUGGUUAUCUGAAUAUAAACUUCCCAUACCCCGAGGACGAUGUGAAAGAGAAAAUCAGCUUUAAAGGCGAUGGCCGUAAACAGUCAAGCCUCACCAUUUCUAAUGUUUCUGUAUAUGACAAUGGUGUGUAUUUCUGUGCUGCCAGUUAGCACAGUGCUGCAGAUUCCCCUCAAGUCAAUACAAAAACUCUCUUUUAUCUGUCAAACAAGUUUUUAAGUAUCCUGAACACCUGCAGCCAGCCCACAUAAACAAAGCCUUCGACGAUUUUAUCAGCUGUUAUGACACAAUUUUGACCUCCUCUGAAUCUACAGUCUUUUGAAUGAAAGAAAGAAAAAUAUCUGAUUGUGGUUAUUUUGACUGAUAUUGCUAUUGCGAUAUGAUUUGCAAUAUCGGAGGGAAUUAUUCUUAUUUUCAUUGAAAAAUAUAUAUGUUUUUUGCAAAGAUCUGUACGAAUCAAAGAUGUUUUCUUAAUGAUGUGUAGGCCGGGGCAUCUGUGCCGCAAGAUAUUUAAUUUAAAAGGGCCGCAAAUUUUGCCUUUAACAAUUAUUGUACCUCCUCACUUUAAAUAAGAUUUCGAUUAACUGAUCAGCCCUAACAAGAAUAAUAGAAUUAAAAGUUGAGUGGACUAAAGAGUGUUGGAUCUAAAACUGUCUGCCCCAUGCAGUCGAUUUCAGGUUUAUAAUAUCGCUAUGGAGAAUUUUAAAAUCAUCUUUGAUGCAUGUUAUAAUUUUUUCUUCACUGCUUAGAAAGGAAAGAUGAUUGUCCAUCUUCUGUUUUUGUCAACAAAUCUGGCAUCUUUAGCUCGUAAGUGUUACUGAUAUGAAGUACAGGCAAUCUACAGGGCAGUGACGUACUGCAGGGGGACCUCUAGUACAACUUGAAUGACUGUAGGUUUGUACAGAGCAGUUCACAAAAUCACAUCACACAGUUCAGUGACACUCCCACCUGCACAUCUUUAUCUCUCUGUACUUAGAGAGAGACACACUCUGGCUGUUUCUGUCAGACAGAUCAUGGAUUUUAUUACUAUCACCAAACGAGGCUUCUUCAGAUUGUCAGUCUUCUUGCUGUGGAUUACAGAUCUAAUUGCUGCCAAUGAUGUAACCCAGAUCUCUUCACUGUGGAAAGACGAGGGUGACAAUGCAACUAUACACUGCAGACAUACCAAGGGUGAUUUAUUCUACCAGAUGUACUGGUACAGACAGCUGCCAGGAAAAAC